ensembl:ncRNA lncRNA:CR46024 long non-coding RNA:CR46024
AUAUUGUCAAAACAGGCUAUUCGAGUGGUAUAAGACUUUUCUGUAACAACACAUGUAACUUUUAAUAUCUAAGCAUAUCCAUUCGAAAUAGAUUAAAUUCAUCGGACCAGAACCGUGUGUGUGAAUGGUAUUUCUUUUUGCACGUGUAGUGGUGGGCUGAAUGUGCCUUUGUCAUUUCCAUCACAAUCAAUUUUUAAUGCCCAGCAUUCAGCCGUCCGAGAUCACGAACCCGAGCACGUUUCCCGAGCCACAUGGGGCGCACGGUGCGGAUACUUGAUUUGCCUGUUGCACCGAGAUGUACGGCCUUUGGUAUCGGAGCUUUGGAAUCACAUGCUCCGGUAUUCUGAGAAGCCUUUGACACGAGUGGGUCAGGUUGGCUGUCUGUUGGCCAAAACUGUUGCCCGAUUGAAAAUUGGCCUCAACAGGUGCAGCUCAGCGCUCAAUUAUGGUUGACAGGGGCCAGAUAAUUUAGUGUUCGAAUGUGGAUUGACAUCGCCUUUAAUUAAAUGUUCCUCGAUUGACAAUGAUGAACUGACAUAUCAAAUUACACAUGGGAAAUAUGAAGAGGUUAAGUCAAAUGGCCUUUCAAAAUCGAUUCUAUUUCUUGUGGCU